rnacentral:rRNA from 1 species
CGAGACUGCCGGUAUAAACCGGAGGAAGGUGGGAUGACGUCAAAUCAUCAUGCCCUUAUGACCUGGGCUACACACGUGCUACAAUGGUUGGUAACAACGAGUUGCGAGUCGGUGACGGCGAGCUAAUCUCUUAAAGACCAAUCUCAGUUCGGAUUGUAGGCUGCAACUCGCCUACAUGAAGUCGGAAUCGCUAGUAAUCGCGGAUCAGCACGCUGCGGUGAAUACGUUCCCGGGCCGUU